CAAACGUUAGUAGCUUGUAUGUUGUCAUGGUAGCAGUUCCGGUACACUAUAGAAUUCUGGGUAAUGCCAAUUUCACUGAAAGACGCCUGAAGUUUUCUUGAAGUAAUUUUACCACUUUCAGGCCCCUAAUGUCUAAUUAUAAUCGCCUCGGUAUCCUGGAUCAGAUUCAUUUAGCUGGUGAAGAUGAAGAUGAUUUAUACUCUGGAUAUAAUGAAGCCAACCCUAUUUUUGAUAACGAGGACCUGGCUGAUGAUCCCAAUUUUCAAAAAGCUGUACUACAAACUAGCCAUGGCCGGCGAGCACCACAGACUGGUAUGGUGCCUAGGGAUACAUUUUCUCGAAAGCCUAUAGGAACAGCAACAUGGGGAGGAAGAUCAAAUCUGUCUUCAUCAUUUGGCCGACCUAUUAGAACCGGAAUAUCUCCUCAAGAUGGCUCUGCAAGACCAAUGACGGCUGUAAGAGGUGCUGGAUAUACAUCUGCUGGAAACAGAGGUGCAACUUUUGAUUCCACAGAUCCGGUUUUAAAAGGCAUCAGCCCAGUGUCCCCUCUUGAGAAAAGGACCGAUGAAAAACCAGAAGAGAAAAUGAAAUAUCUGGAGAAAAAAGCUUAUGCUUUAAUUGAAGAAAGCUGUUUCUCUACAAGCCGCUGUGAUUUUCCUGCUGCCUUAGAAAAAGCAAAAGAUGCAGAAAAAAAAGAGAAAGCUGUUGUACGCCUCAGGAAGCAGUUAUCCCAGGGAGAACCUAUUAAUCUGGAUUUAACUUAUUCAGUUCUGUUUAAUUUAGCCAGUGUUUACUACGCAUGUGAAAUGUACACGGAAGCAUUGAACACCUACAAUGUCAUCGUUAAGAACAAGCUCUUCAACAACGCAGGUCGACUGAAAGUCAACAUUGGCAACAUAUAUUUUAAGCAGCAGAACUAUGCGAAGGCUAUCAAGUUCUACCGGAUGGCUUUAGACCAAGUUCAACUUUCUCAUAAGGAAAUGAAAAUGAAAAUUAUGCAAAAUAUCGGGAUCUCUUUUGUGAAGAUGGGUAAAUAUGAAGAAGCUGUUGGAUCAUUUGAACACAUUAUGAAUGAAUCUCCAAGUUUCAAAACUGGAUUUAACUUGAUUCUUUGCCAUUACGCUUUGGACGAUCGAGAGAAAAUGAAAAGAUCCUUUGAACAGUUAUUGAACAUCGAUAUUAAGUUUGAUGACGAAGACAAGUACCAGCCUGGUGAAAAUAACCCUUACAAUCAGUUUGUUGAAGUAAUCAAGAAUGAUUCUCUGCGCCAACUCGAAAGAGAAAAGAAAUACGAAGCUGAAAAGUCCAUCAAAACAGCUGCAAAAAUAAUAUCACCUCACAUCGAUAACUCGUUUGCUUCUGGCUAUGAUUGGUGUGUCCAGACAGUGAAACAAUCACGUUAUUCUGAUUUGGCUAAUGAUCUGGAGAUUGAUAAAGCAAUCAUGUACCUGAAACAGAAAGAUUUCAAGCAGGCUGUAGAGACUUUGAAAUCGUUUGAAAAAAAAGAUUCUAAGGUUGCCAGUAUUGCAGCUACAAAUUUAUCGUUCUUGUAUUUCAUGGAGCAUGACCUUACCCAAGCUGAGAAAUAUGCUGAUAUGGCGAUAACCGGAGAUAGAUACAGUCCUUCAGCCUUGGUCAAUAAAGGUAAUGUGCUUUACUCGAAUAAAGAUUAUGAAAAGGCUCGAGAUUUUUACCAAGAAGCACUGCAAAAUGAUUCUUCAUGUGUUGAAGCUUUAUAUAAUCUUGGUUUGAGUAAUAAAAUGCUCGGUCGCCUUGAAGAAGCUUUGGACUGUUACUACAAAUUACAUGCCAUUCUACGCAGCAGUCCUCAAGUUAUGUAUCAAAUUGCUGAUUUAAAUGAUCAACUAGAUGAAAAAGUACAGGCAAAGGAAUGGUUUAUGCAGUUGAUUGGUGUAGUUGCAACAGACCCUGAUAUUCUCUGCCGCCUUGGCCAGUUUUAUGACAAUGAAGAGGAUAAGACAUCGGCUUUCCAGUAUUACUUUGAUUCUUAUCGUUACUUUCCAUCUAACAUCCCGGUAAUUGAAUGGCUCGGAUUAUAUUACAUUGAAUCGCAGUUCCCAGAGAAAGCAGUGCAGUACUUUGAGAGAGCGGCUAUUGUCCAACCUAAUGAGAUAAAGUGGCAGCUGAUGGUGGCCAGCUGUUUCCGAAGAAGUGGCAACUACCAACAAGCACUUGACACUUACCGGAAGGUUCACAAGAAAUUUCCUGACAAUGUUGAAUGUUUAAAGUUUCUGACAAAAAUCAGUGCUGACCUGGGUCUACCAGAUGCACAAGAAUAUGCAACGAAACUAAAGAAAGCAGAAAAGGCUAAGGAAAUGCGUGACCAGAGAAUCAACAGUGGCAGACGAGGCAGUGGUCGGCACCGAGAUGCUCGUGAAGGAAGCGCUGGCAGUGAAAGGACUGGUAGUGGCAGCAGUAGCAGGAAAUCCAGUGGUAAGGUCACACAGAGGAUGGCUGACCGAAUGGGCAGUGGUCAGCGAACAGGUGAUGUGAUAGAAGACGGUUCCUCAAAAUCAAAAGAAAUAGAUGCCACGUACUCAGAUCCACUCGGACCACAGGCAGAACGACCAAAGACAGCGGCACGACGACGGGAAGUUGAGGAUGAAUUUGCUGAUGAAGAAAUCGAAGAUUUAUUACCAGAAUAGCAAGAAAAGGGCCCGGGAAGAAAACAAAACAAACAACAUUCCAAGAACAAACAUUAAUUACACAUUCUAAAUAGACAUCCUCUCUUUGAAUGAUGUACACUAUACGUAUAUAUAUAUAUAUAUAUAUAUAUA
rnacentral:misc_RNA from 1 species